rnacentral:rRNA from 1 species
CCCAGGAGCCACAAGUGGCAACCACUAUUAUUGGGCCUAAAGCGUCCGUAGCCUGUCAAGUAAAUUUUCUGUGAAAUCGUUAGGCUUAACUUAACGGAAUGCAGAAAAGACUACUAGACUAGGGACCGGAAGGCGUCAGAGGUAUUCCUGAGGGAGCGGUAAAAUGCUAUAAUCUUAGGAGGACCCCCUGUGGCGAAGGCGUCUGACGAGAACGGAUCCGACGGUGAGGGACGAAAGCCAGGGGAGCGAACCGG